rnacentral:rRNA from 1 species
UGGGGAAUUUUGGACGAAUUGGGGGCAACCGUGAUCCAGCAAUGCCGCGUGUGUGAAGAAGGCCUUCGGGUUGUAAAGCACUUUUGUCCGGAAAGAAAACGCCGUGGUUAAUACCCGUGGCGGAUGACGGUACCGGAAGAAUAAGCACCGGCUAACUACGUGCCAGCAGCCGCGGUAAUACGUAGGGUGCAAGCAUUAAUCGGAAUUACUGGGCGUAAAGCGUGCGCAGGCGGUCCGCUAAGACAGAUGUGAAAUCCCCGGGCUUAACCUGGGAACUGCAUUUGUGACUGGCGGGCUAGAGUAUGGCAGAGGGGGGUAGAAUUCCACGUGUAGCAGUGAAAUGCGUAGAGAUGUGGAGGAAUACCGAUGGCGAAGGCAGCCCCCUGGGCCAAUACUGACGCUC